rnacentral:ncRNA from 1 species
GUUUCGUUAAAAAUUAACAGUACUUUUAUCCCGAAAUAGUUAAGGGAAUCCGGUGAAAAUCCGGAGCUGUACCCGCAGCUGUAAUCCUGUUAUGUUGGAAACAAACUCAGCCACUGUUUUUUUUAGAAAACGGGAAGGUAGUUACCAAUCAGGGAAAGUCAGAAGACCUGCUGUUUCGAGAUAAACAAU